UACGGGGGGGGCAAGCGUUGUUCGGAAUUACUGGGCGUAAAGGGCGCGUAGGCGGUCAGAUAAGUCAGCUGUGAAAACCUCGGGCUUAACCCGAGGCCUGCAGUUGAAACUGUUUGGCUGGAGUGUGGGAGAGGAGAGUGGAAUUCCCGGUGUAGCGGUGAAAUGCGUAGAUAUCAGGAGGAACACCGAUGGCGAAGGCAGGUCUCUGGGCCGAUACUGACGCUGAGGAGCGAAAGCGUGGGGAGCGAACAGG
rnacentral:rRNA from 1 species